CAGGUAAACUUCUCAACGGACUCUUUCUCCCCGCUUUUUCCAUCUAAUCGUGUUCUAGGAUAACAAGCCGGUUAGAAUCCUUUAUUUUCUCAGCCCAAUCGCUCUUUUGACUUCGG
rnacentral:tRNA from 1 species